rnacentral:rRNA from 1 species
ACGGGUGAGUAACGCGUGGGAACGUACCCUUAUCUUCGGAAUAGCUCUGGGAAACUGGAAGUAAUACCGAAUGUGCCCUUAGGGGGAAAGAUUUAUCGGAUAAGGAUCGGCCCGCGUUGGAUUAGCUAGUUGGUGGGGUAAAGGCCUACCAAGGCGACGAUCCAUAGCUGGUCUGAGAGGAUGAUCAGCCACAUUGGGACUGAGACACGGCCCAAACUCCUACGGGAGGCAGCAGUGGGGAAUAUUGGACAAUGGGCGCAAGCCUGAUCCAGCCAUGCCGCGUGAGUGAUGAAGGCCUUAGGGUUGUAAAGCUCUUUCGCCGGAGAAGAUAAUGACGGUAUCCGGAGAAGAAGCCCCGGCUAACUUCGUGCCAGCAGCCGCGGUAAUACGGAGGAGGCUAGCGUUGUUCGGAAUUACUGGGCGUAAAGCGCACGUAGGCGGACAUUUAAGUCAGAGGUGAAAUCCCGGAGCUCAACUUCGGAACUGCCUUUGAUACUGGGUGUCUUGAGUAUGGAAGAGGUUAGUGGAAUUGCGAGUGUAGAGGUGAAAUUCGUAGA